CCUGCCCCGAAAGACAUUGCAGAUGUGACUUCUGUGUCACAUGUGCACCAGUAGGUGGCAGAGAGGAGAAAGGCUAUGCUUCCAUUCAGUGCUCUGCCCUAUGAACAUCUCAAUGCUUAGUAAGCUACCAUU
rnacentral:snoRNA from 1 species